UACGGAGGGUGCGAGCGUUGUCCGGAAUCACUGGGCGUAAAGGGCGCGUAGGCGGCCUGAUAAGUAGGGGGUGAAAUCCUGCGGCUUAACCGCAGGGCUGCCUUCUAAACUGUCAGGCUCGAGCACAGUAGAGGCAGGUGGAAUUCCCGGUGUAGCGGUGGAAUGCGUAGAGAUCGGGAAGAACAUCAGUGGCGAAGGCAGCUCUCUGGGACGGUACUGACGCUGAGACGCGAAAGCGUGGGGAGCGAACAGG
rnacentral:rRNA from 1 species